rnacentral:rRNA from 1 species
AGGACGAACGCUGGCGGCGUGCUUAACACAUGCAAGUCGAGCGGAAAGGCCCUUCGGGGUACUCGAGCGGCGAACGGGUGAGUAACACGUGAGCAAUCUGCCCUUAGCUUCGGGAUAGCUCCGGGAAACCGGAAUUAAUACCGGAUAUGACUAUGGCUGACAUCAGCCACGGUGGAAAGUUUUUCGGCUAGGGAUGAGCUCGCGGCCUAUCAGCUAGUUGGUGGGGUGACGGCCUACCAAGGCGACGACGGGUA